AGAACGUCGUGAGACAGUUCGGUCCCUAUCCGUCGUGGGCGUAGGAAAUUUGAGAGGAGCUGUCCUUAGUACGAGAGGACCGGGAUGGACGCACCGCUGGUGUACCAGUUGUUCUGCCAAGGGCAUAGCUGGGUAGCUAUGUGCGGAAGGGAUAAGUGCUGAAAGCAUCUAAGCAUGAAGCCCCCCUCAAGAUGAGAUUUCCCAUAGCGUAAGCUAGUAAGAUCCCUGAAAGAUGAUCAGGUUGAUAGGUUCGAGGUGGAAGCAUGGUGACAUGUGGAGCUGACGAAUACUAAUAGAUCGAGGACUUAACCAU
rnacentral:rRNA from 1 species